UACGGAGGAUCCAAGCGUUAUCCGGAUUUAUCGGGUUUAAAGGGUGCGUAGGCGGCUUAUUAAGUCAGGGGUGAAAGACGGUGGCUCAACCAUCGCAGUGCCCUUGAUACUGAUGAGCUUGAAUACACUUGAGGUAGGCGGAAUGUGACAAGUAGCGGUGAAAUGCAUAGAUAUGUCACAGAACACCAAUUGCGAAGGCAGCUUACUAAGGUGCAAUUGACGCUGAGGCACGAAAGCGUGGGGAUCAAACAGG
rnacentral:rRNA from 1 species